rnacentral:misc_RNA from 1 species
GGUACCGCUCCAGUCGUUCAUGGUUUUAGAGCUAGAAAUAGCAAGUUAAAAUAAGGCUAGUCCGUUAUCAACUUGAAAAAGUGGCACCGAGUCGGUGCU